CCGACCUUAGCUCAGUUGGUAGAGCGGAGGACUGUAGUACGUUUGCAGAUAAAUCCUUAGGUCGCUGGUUCGAAUCCGGCAGGUCGGA
rnacentral:tRNA from 1 species